GGGGCGGGGCGCCCCGCGGGCGUUUGAAGCGCCUCAAGUGACUGGGCGGGUUCGCGCGGUUUCGCGUCUGAGAGACUUUUAGGCCGGUGUGCCUUGAUUGGGGCUCCGGCUCCCCGACUGUGGUCCUGACCACCGUCCGCAGGAGUAGAAGGAACGAUAGUUCUUACGAUGCACGGGCUCUUCACUUCUGGGAUGCUGGACCAAGGCGCGCAGUGGGGAUGAGCGGGCGUCUUCUAUUCGGCCCUGUUGCCGUCAAGCACUCAAGAAUGACCAAAAAAAGAAAACGCCAAGAUGACUUUCAAAAAGUAAAACUAAAAGUUGGUAAAAAGAAACCCAAGUUAGAAAAUGCUACUAUUACAAACUUUAAAACGAAGACCAUACAUCUGCCUGAGCAACUCAAAGAAGAUGGAACUCUUCCAACAAACAAUAGAAAACUUAACAUAAAGGAUUUGCUGUCACAGAUGCAUCACUACAAUGCUGGGGUUAAACAAAGUGCUCUUCUUGGACUUAAAGACCUUUUGUCUCAGUACCCAUUUAUAAUUGAUGCACACCUUUCAAACAUAUUAAGUGAAGUGACUGCUGUGUUUACAGAUAAAGAUGCUAAUGUACGAUUAGCAGCAGUUCAACUUCUUCAAUUCCUGGCCCCCAAAAUACGAGCUGAACAAAUUUCUCCAUUUUUUCCUUUGGUAAGUGCCCAUCUCUCUAGUGCCAUGACUCACAUUACUGAAGGAAUUCAGGAGGACUCUUUAAAAGUUUUGGACAUUCUGCUGGAACAGUACCCAGCCUUAAUUACUGGCCGUAGCAGUAUAUUGCUUAAGAAUUUUGUAGAACUUAUUUCUCAUCAGCAGCUGUCCAAAGGACUGGUAAAUAGAGACAGAUCCCAGUCCUGGAUACUUUCUGUAAAUCCUAAUCGGAGACUCACUUCUCAGCAGUGGAGGCUGAAAGUCUUAGUGAGACUCAGUAAAUUCCUUCAGGCCUUGGCAGAUGGAUCCAGUAGGUUGAGAGAAAGUGAAGGACUUCAGGAACAAAAAGAAAAUCCCCAUGCCACUAGCAACUCCAUUUUUAUCAACUGGAAAGAACAUGCCAACGACCAGCAGCACAUCCAGGUUUAUGAAAAUGGGGGUUCACAGCCAAAUGUCAGUUCACAGUUCAGGCUACGGUACCUGGUUGGAGGAUUAGGCAGUGUGGAUGAAGGCCUCUCAUCUACUGAAAACUUGAAAGGAUUUAUUGAGAUAAUAAUUCCAUUGCUAAUUGAAUGCUGGAUUGAAGCUGUGCCUCCACAACUAGCUGCUUCUAUUGGAAAUGGUAUAGAACGAGAACCUCUGCAGGUUAUGCAGCAAGUUCUUAAUAUUAUUUCCCUUCUGUGGAAACUCUCUAAACAACAUGAUGAAACUCAUAAAUUGGAGUCGUGGCUUCGAAAGAAUUAUCUUAUUGAUUUCAAACACCAUUUUAUGAGUCAUUUUCCAUAUGCCUUAAAAGAAAUAACCAAGCAUAAAAGGAAAGAGACAAAUAAAAGCAUCAAGCAUUGCACGAUUCUCUCCAAUAAUGUAGAUCAUCUAUUACUGAAUUUAACACUGUCUGAUAUCAUGGUCUCCCUGGCAAAUGCCUCAACUUUGCAGAAGGAUUCCAAUUGGAUAGAAAUGAUAAGGAAAUUUGUGACAGAGACCCUUGAAGAUGGCUUUAGGCUAAAUAGUAAGCAGCUGAACAGAUUGCUUGGGGUAUCAUGGAGAUUAAUGCAGAUACAACCCAACAGAGAGGCUACAGAGUCUCUCAUCAAGGCAGUUUAUACAUUGUAUCAGCAGAGAGGCCUUCUCCUCCCAGUUCGGACUUUGUUACUGAAGUUUUUCAGUAAAAUCUAUCAGAAAGAAGAACUGAGAUCUUACAGAGUCAGAUAUCGUAGUAAGGUGUUAUCCCGUUGGCUGGCUGGUUUACCAUUGCAGCUUGCUCACCUUGGUUCCCGAAAUCCUGACCUCUCAACACAGCUUAUUGAUAUCAUCCAUACUGCGGCAGCACGAGCAAAUAGAGAGUUACUAAAAAGUUUACAAGCUUCUGCUCUGCGAAUCUAUGAUCCACAAGAAGGCACUGUGGUGGUUCUCCCAGCAGAGUCUCAGCAGCGUUUGGUCCAGCUUGUAUAUUUUCUACCCACUCUGCCUGCUGAUUUACUUUCUCGGUUAAGUCGUUGCUGUAUUAUGGGAAGACUCAGUUCAAGUUUGGCUGCCAUGCUCAUUGGGAUACUGCACAUGAGAUCAUCAUUUUCUGGAUGGAAGUAUUCAGUUAAAGACUGGUUGAUGAGUGACGUGGACUAUUUCAGCUUCUUAUUUUCAACACUUACAGGGUUUUCAAAAGAGGAGUUGACUUGGCUUCAGAGCCUUCGAGGAGUUCCUCAUGUCAUCCAGACACAGCUUUCCCCUGUGCUUCUUUACCUUACCGACUUGGAUCAAUUUUUACAUCAUUGGGAUGUAACAGAGGGACAAGCUGUGGGGGGUCUGUGUCUCCAUCCUGGCUCUCCUGCCUCGAGUCCUCAGGUUGAUGCUGCAGAGCCUGCGGGUGAACAGAGCUGGGCCUGAGGAGCUGCCUGUUGUGGGCCAGCUGCUUCGCCUGCUGCUUCAGCAUGCACCCCUCAGGACUCAUAUGUUAACCAAUGCCAUCUUGGUGCAGCAGAUCAUCAAGAAUAUCACGACAUUGAAGAGUGGAGGUAUUCAGGAACAAUGGCUCACAGACUUACAUUAUUGCUUCAAUGUGUAUAUCACUGGGCAUCCCCAGGGGCCCAGUGCACUGAGUACAGUCUAUUGAGUACAGUAAGAGGCUUCGUGGUACCUCCUGUUUGCAAUUGUUUAUUCACAUCUAAUUUUGAAGAGAGACUGAUGUAAUGUUUGUCAUUAAAGCUGAACUUUUAAAGUAGUUGUUUAUGAACCUUCCUUUGCACUAGUAGGAAAACACAGGCUGGCUUCUUGGACUAGUACAUGAUACUUGGUUACAGGUGGUUAGUGUAUUUUGCAUUUCAUAGGAACUAAAUAUUUACAAAAUACAAAGUGAUAAUAUAGUACCUUCUAUUUUAUGUGCCAAGAAAGUAGCAAAAUCUUUGUGUGGUCUCAGCUCCAGUUCAUUCAGACAGCAACAGAAACCAGUUUUUUUAUUUGGGAACAGUUGCCCUUACCCAUCAUGACAUUCAGCUUCUCACUAUGGAGUCCUAUUAUGUACAGCAGUUUUCUAUCCCUCUAUGCGGGAGCAAGAUUUCAAGAUAGUGCUACAGUUGUUUGGGGUUUUCCUAUACCUAAAUGGUACUUGGUUUGAUCUAGUUAAUUCUUUUAAAAGUACUGUCUACUAAUGAUCCGUUAUAGUUCUUUUAAAAUUACAAGCUAGAUAGCAAUUUUAUUGACCCUUGUACAAUGCUGGGGGAGGGUUAGGGGGUACCGACACCUGACACCCACCCCCCACCCCGGUCAGAAAAUCCAUGUAUAAAAUUUGAUUCCCCCAAAUCUUUACUACCAAUAUCCUACUGUUGACCAGAAGCCUUACUGAUAAUCAGUUUACACAUAUUUUGUUAUAUGUAUUAGAUUCUAAUUCUUAAAAUAAAGCAAGCUAGAGAAAAGAACACAUUUGCAGUACUACGGCUGUAUUUAUCGAUACCAUAUGUAUUGGGAAAAAAAAAACCACGUUCAGUGGAUCAACACAAACCUGGUUGUUCAAGGGUCACCUGUAUUCAUUAUUUUCAUAACUUUGAAAUAAUUACCUUAAUUUUUUACAGUUUGCUAAUUGUUAACACUUUAUUGCUUCUUAAUCUCUUACUGUCAAGACAGGGUUGGCAGUAAUUUUAAAAUGGAAGUGGUCCUAGAAAUAUUUGAGCCUAGUAUGUCACUGUUUCAUCCUGCUGUUUACAUUCCUACAGUAACUUUGCUCUUAAAAAUGUGAAAAAGCCUAUGAUCACUGGAUUGUAUUUAUGCCAGGUGUUCUUAGAGUUAAAAUGUGUGUAGUUUUAGGACAGUUUCCCAGCCAGUAGGAAGGGCAUUCUGACAAGAUUGCUCACCUGUACAGGUCAGUCAGAAAAUACAAGAAAAUGGUAAGGCCUGAAGUGGUACCUUAUGCAUGAAUGGUCUGGUCUGUAAACCUCCCCAGUUGAUUUCUCGCUGCUGUGAUACUGCUGGUGCUCAGCAGCAACCUGAGGCCUUCAUAGGCUAACACGGGAACUGUAAAAUGGAAGGAAUCAACAAGGUGCCUAUACUGUCUUACAGGUUUUUUUUUUGUUUUUUGACAGCACAAGCAGGGGGAGUGGGAGAGGGAUAAGCAGACUCCCCGCUGAGCAGGAGCCUGACAAAGGGCUCCAUCCCUGGACUUGGAGAUCAU